AGUAUCCUGGAUUAUUUGUUGAGGAAUUAUAAUUGAACCUACACUUGCGCACAGGGAACCCGGGUUUCCCCAGCCUAUGUCAGGCCCCCUUGUCUGGGGAAGGCAGAAGCAGGAACAGGGUACCCACCUAUCGGUUGAUAGGGCGUCAAUUAUGUCCUUGACGGUAAUUUGGGAUUUUU
rnacentral:other from 1 species